AGUGGAUGGGGAGCAACCUAGUUGUGCGUGUGUAAAGGUAGUGCCAAGAAAAGCGAUGAUCAUGUUGAAAAUCAAUUCCCGGUACCCGAAACCGACACAGGUGGGCAAGUAGAGAAUACUAAGGGGCGCGAGGUAACUCUCUCCAAGGAACUCGGCAAAAUGACCCCGUAACUUAGGGAGAAGGGGUGCCACCGAGAGGUGGUCGCAGUGAAGAGGCCCAGGCGACUGUUUAGCAAAAACAUAGGUCUCUGCAAACUCGAAAGAGGAGGUAUAGGGGCUGACGCCUGCCCAGUGCCGGAAGGUUAAAGAAGUUGGUCAGUUUUAGGAUGAAGCUAGCGACUGAAGCCCCGGUGAACGGCGGCCGUAACUAUAACGGUCCUAAGGUAGCGAAAUUCCUUGUCGGGUAAGUUCCGACCCGCACGAAAGGCGUAACGAUCUGGGCGCUGUCUCGGAGAGAGGCUCGGCGAAAUAGGAUUGUCUGUGAAGAUACGGACUACCUGCAUUUGGACAGAAAGACCCUAUGAAGCUUUACUAUAGCUUGGAAUUGUGUUCGGGCUUCCUGUGCGCAGGAUAGGUGGGAGGCGUAGAAGGUAUUCUUGUGGGGAUACUGGAGCCAACGGUGAGAUACCACUCUCAGGAGGCUAGAAUUCUAACUUAAUUAAGGACAGUUUCAGGUGGGUAGUUUGACUGGGGCGGUCGCCUCCAAAAAGGUAACGGAGGCGUACAAAGGUUCCCUCAGACUGGUUGGAAAUCAGUCGAAGAGUGCAAAGGCAGAAGGGAGCUUGACUGCGAGAAGUACAGUUCGAGCAGGGUGGAAACACGGUCUUAGUGAUCCGACGGUGCUGUGUGGAAGGGCCGUCGCUCAACGGAUAAAAGUUACUCUAGGAUAACAGGCUGAUCUCCCCCAAGAGUUCACAUCGACGGGGAGGUUUGGCACCUCGAUGUCGGCUCAUCGCAACCUGGGGCGGAAGUACGUCCCAAGGGUUGGGCUGUUCGCCCAUUAAAGCGGUACGUGAGCUGGGUUCAGAACGUCGUGAGACAGUUCGGUCCAUAUCCGAUGUAGGCGUGAGAAUAUUGAGAGGAGCCUUCCUUAGUACGAGAGGACCGGGAAGGACGCACCGCUGGUGUACCUGUUAUGAUGCCAAUUGUAAACGCAGGGUAGCCAAGCGCGGAGAGGAUAACCACUGAAAGCAUCUAAGUGGGAAGCCCACCUCAAGAUGAGUAUUCUGGUGUAAGGUCACGGGAAGACGACCCGUAAAUAGGCACGAGGUGGAAGUGCAGAGAUGUAUGAAGCCGAAGUGUACUAAUAGGCCGUCGGCUUGACC
rnacentral:rRNA from 1 species